CCAGCCUUGGUCGCAGUCCGCUCCAAUUACAUCCUCAAAAUGCACUCUCCUUCGCAACCCCCAGCAUCCUUAGAACAAUCAAUAAUUUUAAUUUUUUCAGAUGCCACCCAAACCGGCACCGGUCCCCUGCCUUAGUCCUACGCUUUUUCUCCUUUCGUCCUUCUCCGUCUGUUCAUUUUGGUUCCAAACGAAGCCAAAUGUCGCUGAAAAAAGGCUGACGGGGGAAUUAAUUGCCCGUCUCAUCUACAACUCCAGUUGAUUCCCUCGUUUGUUUGUCCGUUUGUCGCCUCGCUCGUUUCCCUCGUUUCGCUCUUGUGUCUGCUGUGUCGUUCCUCUCUCGCCCUCUCUCUGUCUGGCGCUUGGGGUGCGCUUUCCUCUCUUUUCCCCCUUCUUGCAACGUAAUUAGCAUGCAGAUAUGCAUCGCCUGAUUCGCAAGUCAAAUCGCCUAUCCAUUUUUUUUUUUUUUCCCCCCCACCUCUCUGGAUCUCUGCUCCAUUUCAGGGCUGUGAUUGUUCUUAUUCAGUUUGUUUGAUCUGGUAGACAAGCAUGCAUAUCCUCUCUCAGCCUAGUCAGACCCAAAAAACACAAAUAUGAUAGGAGAAGGAUUCAGUUUAUUUAUUUAUUUAUAUUCUUAUCUGCUGAUGUCAGAGGUUUGCACAGUUUUCUCCUACUGCAAGCUGCCCAUCUUCAGAUGCACAAAAAGAAAGAAAAAAUGAAAUACCCUCAUAGUUUUGUCCAUUUUCAAAACACCUGCAUGCUGUACAACAUUUCUGAGCCCCUAUGCCUCAGACUUCCUUAUAUUAUACCACCACAGCUGGCUUUACGUGAUGCCUGCUUGCCUUUUUUGUUUUGGAUGCCUCUUACGUUGCUGUAUGGAGUGUAUUCAUAUUAAGAAGAAGUAGCAACAAUCCAAAGUGUUUGUUACACUCAUUUCCUCCCUCCCUUACACUGAGCAGAUAUGCUGGUGUGGGAAAGUGAUGGCUCAGCACAUUUCAAUAUAAACGUUGUCUUCCUUUAUCUGGCUGCCACUCGUGUCCCUGUCACUAAAAAGUAUCCUCCGGCAGCACUUUUUAUUCAGGAGCAGGGAGGGGAAAGUGGCUCCAACUAUAAUGCAGUUGUGAGAAACAUGGCUUGAGAUGAGUUAUUAGAUCUAUAUUUAAAGACAUUUAAAAAAAAACUUGACCAUGUUGUAUAAGUAGUUGGAUGAUUGAUCCAUGUUUUGAUACGGGCUCUCAUAGCUACAAUACUGUUAAACAGUUUAGAUAAUUAUAUUUAAACGUAAUUCCCUUGCAGAUUAAACAGCAGAUCACUGGCUCUACUGAGCUAAAGCACCUAAAACAGCCAAAAACGCAAAUUUAGUUGAGUCCUCAGAUGUAAUCCCAGUACAUAAAUGGACAUCAACAAGUGCCAGAUAAAAAUACAGAAGGGUGUUUCUCUGCAUAGUCAUGGUGUUGUUGGCACUAGGCCAGUCUUUCAGUCUGUUCCUUCCCUCCACCCCUAUUUUUCUGUCUUUCUCCUUCUCCUUGAAGCUAAUCUGCUUACAUCUGCCAUUAUUGAGUGGCUGCCAUUAACAUGGCAUAUCAGAAGCAGGCGCCCUUUUACCCCUCUCUCCUCCUCCUCCUUCUCACACCCCCUUUCAUCGCGCACCAGAUUCCGCGCCCACUUUGCCACAGAGUUCUCUAAAAAGGGUCCAGGUAGCAUGUUGCCCUAUCUUCUUUUGGAAUCGACCAGGAGACAUUGUAACUCAGCAAAAACCACACACAAAACAAUAAGAAAAAAAAGCCUUGAAAAUGAAGAUGCACAUCUCAGAUCCAGCGUGGAGCCUCCUGUACUUUCCACAUCCACAGGCUAGGUGUUGUUGCUGCUGCUCCAGCUCUCUCCUUCCACUGGAUAGUUUUUGAGAUCAAAGGCUAAGACGCAAACCCUCCUCCAACCUUGGAACUUCCUUGGCUUGUGGGCUAAUCACAGGACCCUGGUAUGUGUGUCAAACCCAUACAGUCUCUCUCACACGCAUAAAACAGAAACAAACAUGGAUGCUGCAGAGUUUUUUUUUUUUUUCCUCCCAGAGCUCCCUGCCAUCUCGUCUGCACUGCUGCCUCGGAGGAACUGAGCAUACACCGGGAUCUAGCAGGGACUUCCUCACACUUCCAUGCGCUGGAUUUAAUUUGCACGUGCACUCUGCAGUUGUUUGGGGGGGGCUUGGGAAAAGUGAAUAAUCAAUUGGGUAUUGAUUUCUUGUACGAUUUUGUAGAUUCCAAAGGCAAAGACAAAGAGGGUAGCUUAAGGAGAGUCGCUACGAGCGAGAGGAGGCGCAAAUUAGCCAAUAAACAUAGACGGCGGAAUAAACAAAGGCGAACGAAUGAGCCGCUCAUCACUGCAACACGCUUCCGUCUUUUGCUUGUUUUUUUAUUGUUUCUGUUCCCUCCUCCAGGGGAAGAAACACGGAGUGCAACGCCGGUUUUCUAUGGAGACGAGGAGAUGGCAAAUGGGCAAAUAAGGGUUAAAAGCGAAAGCUGCAGGAGGAGAUAUAGUGACACGAGGACAUGAAGGCAAGAGCUGCAGAGAAGAAUUAAGAGCUAUUAUUCCACUAAAGGAGCGGUUUGUAUAUGCAAACGAGACAGACAAGGAAGAGGAAGCGAGGGAAGACGACUUUUUAACCACUGAGAUAUACCUUGGAGUUCACUACAACGGAUAAAGCAAUCACAUCACAACAACUAGACUUUUCCUGAUAACCGUAGAGGAGAAGCGAUCGGGAAACGGCGAACGAGAGAACGACAAUCAGACAUGCACCUUGAUUCCCUAUUAUGCCCGUCUGCGCAUAUUGAUGGGAUGCUCCGUGGAUGAUAAUUACCUUUUGGAAUAUCGAAUGGCGAAAUGAGCCUAAAUGAGGAACGACGACGGAACAAGAAGAAAGGGGAGAAAAAAAAAAAAAAAAACAGAAGUAGCGAUGGUAUGCAAACGGCGCUAAUAAUAUUCAGAGCGCUGAGUGUGUGUCAUCUGCAUGAUGACAACGGCCAAUUAUAAAGAACGAUUCGCUCUCUGGCACAGAUAAGUAGGAGAAAAGGGAAAAUGGCUGAAGAGGAGGGGUAAGCGAAAAGAACUUUCCCGUCGAUUUCUUCUUAAUUCGCCAUUAAUAUUUGCCGACUCUGCACGCUAUGGAAUUACA